rnacentral:rRNA from 1 species
AUGCACCCAAGCCAUUUGAUGUAUACAAGAUUUUCGAUUCCCCCUGUUCUCUGUUCUUGUAUACCUCCUUAUUCUUUCGAUUCCCCCUGUUCUCUGUUCUUGUAUUGUAUACCUCCUUGUUCUUUGAGUUGCUUGCUGUCAGUUUGUUGGAGUUCGAGUGAAAACCUUAGUUUUAUGUUCAGUAAUAUGAAAGCUUAUGUAGAUGUCUCUCAGAAGCAAGUAUUUAUUCAGAGAGAAUCCCCACCUCACUCCAAAGUUGGGUGGAUGAUUUUCACAUAUGUAACUGUCUCUCGGUUAUAUGGUUCUAAUCAUUUUUCAAUCUGUGUAUGGUUGCUAUGA